UUCCGUAGGUGAACCUGCGGAAGGAUCAU
rnacentral:ncRNA from 39 species